UUUCCGUAGGUGAACCUGCGGAAGGAUCAUUCAUAAUAAGUGUUUUAUGGCACUUUUUUAAAUCCAUAUCCACCUUGUGUGCAAUGUCAGGGUUGAUUUUUCUCUCGAGAGGAUCAACCCCAAACAUCAACUAUAUCUCAACUCUUUGUCUGAAAAAUAUUGUGAAUAAGACAAUUCAAAAUACAACUUUCAACAACGGAUCUCUUGGCUCUC
rnacentral:misc_RNA from 1 species